rnacentral:rRNA from 1 species
AACGAACGCUGGCGGCAGGCCUAACACAUGCAAGUCGAACGGGUGUAGCAAUACAUCAGUGGCAGACGGGUGAGUAACGCGUGGGAAUCUCCCCAGAGGUACGGAACAACUCAGGGAAACUUGAGCUAAUACCGUAUGUGCCCGAGAGGGCAAAGAUUCAUCGCCUUUGGAUGAGCCCGCGUUGGAUUAGCUAGUUGGUGGGGUAACGGCCUACCAAGGCUACGAUCCAUAGCUGAUCUGAGAGGAUGAUCAGCCACACUGGGACUGAGACACGGCCCAGACUCCUACGGGAGGCAGCAGUGGGGAAU